ensembl:snoRNA SNORD24 Small nucleolar RNA SNORD24
UGCAGAUGAUGUGAAAGAAUAUUUGCUAUCUGAAUGAUAGUGCUGACAUAUAACCACCAAGAUCGCUGAUGCA